rnacentral:lncRNA from 1 species
CCCCAAACUGGGAACCCCAAAACUGGGACCCUAUGGGACUGGGAUCACCUGAAACUGGGACACCCCCAAACUGGGAUCCCCCCCAAACUGGGAUCCCCCCCAAACUGGGACCCUAUGGAACUGGGACCCCCAAACUGGGACCCCCCCAAACUGGGAUCCCCCCCAAACUGGGACCCUAUGGGACUGGGAUCACCUGAAACUGGGACACCCCCAAACUGGGAUCCCCCCAAACUGGGAUGCUAUGGGACUGGGAUCCCCCAAACUGGGACACCCCCAAACUGGGAUCCCCCCCCAAACUGGGACCUUGUGGGAUUGGGACCCCCAAACUGGGACCCCCAAACUGGGAUCCCCAUAUCUGAGACACCCCCAAACUGGGACCCUGUGGAACUGGGACCCCCAAACUGGGAUCCCCCCCAAACUGGAACCCCCCGUGCAACUCUUGGCCCCGCCCCCUUUGCUUAAGCCCCGCCCCUCGCUCAAACCACGCCCACCCGGGGUCGCCGCAAAGCCCCGCCCCCCCUCGGUGGGCGUGGCCUCCAGCUCACGUGACGCGCUCAAGCCCCGCCCUCCUGGCUAAGCCCCGCCCCCUUCGCUGUGUAAGCUCCGCCCCCUCGCAAUAAAGCGCUGCUGCUGCUGCU